AUCGCUUCUCGGCCUUAAUGGCUAAGAUCAAAGUGUAGUAUCUGUUCUUAUCAGCUUAAUAUCUGAUACGACCCGCACUGCGGGUCUAGUAUAUUAAACUUAUUAUAGCGUUU
rnacentral:snRNA from 1 species